rnacentral:rRNA from 1 species
AGAGUUUGAUCCUGGCUCAGGAUGAACGCUGGCGGCGUGCUUAACACAUGCAAGUCGAACGAACCUUCGGGUUAGUGGCGGACGGGUGAGUAACGCGUGAGAAUCUGCCCUCAGGAGGGGGAUAACGGUUGGAAACGACCGCUAAUACCCCAUAUGCCGAGAGGUGAAAUGAAUUUCGCCUGAGGAUGAGCCCGCGUCUGAUUAGCUUGUUGGUGAGGUAAUGGCUCACCAAGGCUUCGAUCAGUAGCUGGUCUGAGAGGAUGAUCAGCCACACUGGGACUGAGACACGGCCCAGACUCCUACGGGAGGCAGCAGUGGGGAAUUUUCCGCAAUGGGCGAAAGCCUGACGGAGCAACGCCGCGUGAGGGAUGAAGGCCUCUGGGCUGUAAACCUCUUUUCUCAAGGAAGAAGAUCUGACGGUACUUGAGGAAUAAGCCACGGCUAAUUCCGUGCCAGCAGCCGCGGUAAUACGGGAGUGGCAAGCGUUAUCCGGAAUUAUUGGGCGUAAAGCGUCCGCAGGCGGCCUUUCAAGUCUGCUGUUAAAGCGUGGAGCUUAACUCCAUCAUGGCAGUGGAAACUGAUUGGCUUGAGUAUGGUAGGGGCAGAGGGAAUUCCCGGUGUAGCGGUGAAAUGCGUAGAUAUCGGGAAGAACACCAGUGGCGAAGGCGCUCUGCUGGGCCAUAACUGACGCUCAUGGACGAAAGCCAGGGGAGCGAAAGGGAUUAGAUACCCCUGUAGUCCUGGCCGUAAACGAUGAACACUAGGUGUCGGGGGAAUCGACCCCUUCGGUGUCGUAGCUAACGCGUUAAGUGUUCCGCCUGGGGAGUACGCACGCAAGUGUGAAACUCAAAGGAAUUGACGGGGGCCCGCACAAGCGGUGGAGUAUGUGGUUUAAUUCGAUGCAACGCGAAGAACCUUACCAGGGCUUGACAUCCUGCGAACCUUUAAGAAAUUAGAGGGUGCCUUCGGGAACGCAGUGACAGGUGGUGCAUGGCUGUCGUCAGCUCGUGUCGUGAGAUGUUGGGUUAAGUCCCGCAACGAGCGCAACCCACGUUUUUAGUUGCCAGCAUUUAGUUGGGCACUCUAGAAAGACCGCCGGUGAUAAACCGGAGGAAGGUGUGGAUGACGUCAAGUCAUCAUGCCCCUUACAUCCUGGGCUACACACGUACUACAAUGCUACGGACAAAGGGCAGCAAACUCGCGAGAGCUAGCAAAUCCCAUAAACCGUGGCUCAGUUCAGAUCGUAGGCUGCAACUCGCCUACGUGAAGUAGGAAUCGCUAGUAAUCGCAGGUCAGCAUACUGCGGUGAAUACGUUCCCGGGCCUUGUACACACCGCCCGUCACACCAUGGAAGUUGGCCACGCCCGAAGUCGUUACUUUAACCCUUGUGGAGAAGGACGCCGAAGGUGGGGCUGAUGACUGGGGUGAAGUCGUAACAAGGUAGCCGUACCGGAAGGUGCGGCUG